GGGAGGCAGGACAGCAUAGGGUAGAUAGCUUAGCAGCUUCAGGAUGAGCCCCCACGAAGGCAGGGAGAGGGGGCAGCUCCCACCGCCAACGAGCCCUGCAAGAGGCCAACCGAAGGCAAGGAGGGGUGGCAGGCAUGCAUGUCAGACCUGCGGAUGGUCUGAAGGAGAGGAAUCCAAACUGUGCUCCAAGAGACUGCUCUGGCAGGACUUCUCUAAAGCUUACUCUUUCCUAAGGGCUUAGUGUCUUAAAAUUCAGAUAAGCCCAAGUCCUAGAAAGCUGAUGCCCUAACGGAUAGCACAGGAUAUCUAACUGUGUUCCCAUUUGCCAGAUGAGAAAGUUGAGGCCCAGAGAAGCGAGUGACUCGGCCAAAUUGCUCAGUUACGUGUUGUGACACGGCCACCACUUGUCUGUCCUAGGCUGACAAACCAGAUCUAAUGGAUGGACACACCGGCCGCCUCCACCUACUGGGAAUGUGUAGCCAUAACCUUUGUUUACUUCAGAAAGGGCUCCCUCAGGAUGAUGGUCAGCUUCCUUCCCUCUUGCAGGGCAGAGCCCACUGGGGGUGCUACCAAAGCUUGUCUUUAGAGGUCUUUCACUCCCUUGGUUAACUGUAGUCCUGUUCUGCCGAUGAGACGUAUUGAAGUCAGAGCGCUCUGGAGGUGAGCAGAGGGCAGAAUGGGGGGCAAAGCUCUCAGCCUGAAACCUGAAAACCUUUCUGUCACCACUGGCCCUCUCUGCUGUCACCACUCCUGUUCCAGGAACCCGUCCGCCAGCACAGGGGAGAGCGUGUGCACCCCGACGCCGUGCUGCAGAAGGCUAACAUCCAGCGGGGGUUCGCAGUUGGGGCUCAGCACAGAAAGAAGCAGAGCAUGCGGCCGCUGGAGACUCCCAGGUGAAGGCCAAGCAGCUCCCUUCGUUCUUCCACGCCCUUGCUACUCAGCAGCAGGAUUCCUGGACCAGCACCAUCAGCACGUCCUGAGAGCUAGCUAGAAAUGCAGAAAUCUCUGGCCCACCCAGACUUCCUGAGUUGGCGUCUGCGCUUUAAGACCUCCACCGUGAUUCCUAGGAACGGUGCAGGGGGGCAGGACCGUGGUUGGCUCCUCUUCCUCAGAGCCACCUGCUUCCACUGCUGGGCCCAGCAUACGAUGUCCAGUAACUUCACCCACCUCAAAUGCAGCCAGCAAGCACUGAAGGCCCUCUUGCUUCCCCCAGAACCUUUGAAAAGACAAGUUAGGACGAGAAAGUUAAGUGAUAAAGCUCUUAGCUUUACAGGGCAAAUACUCAAGACUUCUCCUGGAGACAGAGCCAUCAUCUGUUAAAUUAGAACACAGGAGAGCGCUCCUAUACAAAGACAAACUAUGUACAGACACCCGGGAAGCAACUGGAAAAAGCAACUGGUUUGGGGAUUAACAGACAGAUGGGAAGAAAAAGUCAUUUAAGGUGACCUCCACCCACCGCUGUGCACAGGGAAAGCCUGACAUCCCAUUCAUCGAAGCUCACACCACGAUAUUCAUUCGGCAAAUAUAAAUACACGUUCAUAAGCGGGAGAAAAAUAAACUCAGGUUUUUAUCACA